AUUGAACGCUGGCGGCAGGCCUAACACAUGCAAGUCGAACGGUAACAGGUAGCAGCUUGCUGCUUUGCUGACGAGUGGCGGACGGGUGAGUAAUGUCUGGGAAACUGCCUGAUGGAGGGGGAUAACUACUGGAAACGGUAGCUAAUACCGCAUAACGUCGCAAGACCAAAGAGGGGGACCUUCGGGCCUCUUGCCAUCGGAUGUGCCCAGAUGGGAUUAUCUAGUAGGUGGGGUAACGGCUCACCUAGGCGACGAUCCCUAGCUGGUCUGAGAGGAUGACCAGCCACACUGGAACUGAGACACGGUCCAGACUCCUACGGGAGGCAGCAGUGGGGAAUAUUGCACAAUGGGCGCAAGCCUGAUGCAGCCAUGCCGCGUGUAUGAAGAAGGCCUUCGGGUUGUAAAGUACUUUCAGCGGGGAGGAAGGGAGUAAAGUUAAUACCUUUGCUCAUUGACGUUACCCGCAGAAGAAGCACCGGCUAACUCCGUG
rnacentral:rRNA from 1 species